UACGUAGGGUGCGAGCGUUGUCCGGAAUUAUUGGGCGUAAAGGGCUCGUAGGCGGUCCAUCGCGUCGGGAGUGAAAAGCUGGGGCUUAACCCCAGUCCUGCUUUCGAUACGGGCAGACUAGAGGUAUGCAGGGGAGAACGGAAUUCCUGGUGUAGCGGUGAAAUGCGCAGAUAUCAGGAGGAACACCGGUGGCGAAGGCGGGUCUCUGGGCAGUAACUGACGCUGAGGAGCGAAAGCGUGGGGAGCGAACAGG
rnacentral:rRNA from 1 species